rnacentral:lncRNA from 10 species
GCCCAGUUCUCUAGCCACCUCAUAAUGGGUAUUAUCUGACGUCAUUGGCAAGUUGCUUUGCUAGAUUAUGCUGAAAUAAUUGAGGAAUCCUUACCUAUGCUAACCCUGAGAGGAAGAGCCAGAGAGGGAAGUCUCUGAGCUGUGAGCUACCCUGAUUCUACACUGGGAAGUUAGGGGUAGAAGCACACAGGAGCCCAGCACUUACAGCCAGUGGCCCUGGGGGUCUCCUCCAGCUCCACCUCAUGACACCCCGUGCUGCUGCGUGACUGCUCCUGGUGCCAAGGCCACCGCUGCCAUGAGUCUGAAUGGCUAAUGCUGAGAUUAGCAGGGCCUCCCUUCUACUGGCCUGUCCUCCUGGCUCUCCUCCCUUUUGCCUCUUCUGGAUUUCAGGUAACAAAGCACCACAUUAGAUACUGAAGAUAGAAAUUUGCUUAAGAUAUGGUCUCAGCAUUCAACAGGCUGGUGUUCUGGUUGAGAAGGAGUACAUGGAUCUUUCUUUCUCCUACCCCUGGAGACUAACAAAGUCUCACUCUGCUGUCCAGGCUGGAGUGCAGUGGCGCGAUCUCGGCUCACUGCAACCUCUGCCUCCCAGGUUCAAGCGAUUCUCCUGCCUCAGCCUCUCAAGUAGCUGGGACUACAGUAUCCUGCAUAAAACUGCAUUAAAAACCAGUAACAUCAGACCCGGGAUGGGGACGGAAGGUCCAAAUCAGAACCUCCAUGGAAUGCAUCUCUACAUAUUUUCACAUCUGUUUUCAAGCAAGGAGCAAGACCAGCAAGAAAGUGAGGACUUCCUCUGAUGCACAAACCUGGGAUGUGCUGUGCAAAUCAGCUACCUGGGCUUCCCACCUGUGGAUGCUCACUGACCUGGGGCCGCACCAGGUGAUUUCAGGACUUCCUCAGAGAAAACCCAGGCAAGACACCAGCAACAGAGCUACCCUGAUAAUUAUUAAAUUAGCUCUAUGUGGAGAAGCCAUAUUUGAAUAAGUUAUUAGUGGAGGUCCUUUGUAAACCAUGCUCCAUUAUAUAAAUGGCAGAUGUCAUUAUUUAUACCCAGACUACUCCUUUGGAAGACAAAAGAGAAAUGAAUCUUACUUAGCCUAGAAUAGCA